UGAAUUAAUGUUCCAUCCUCUGUAUUUUGGGAGGUAUUCUGCAUAUCUCUCAGGAAAUCCAGAUGGAACUGAGUGCCUGCUGCCCACAUCAGCAACCCAGGCUGUGUUGUGUGGCCAUGUCUCCCUGAGUGACAAGCAGGCUGGUUAUGUGGAGUUGUCAGCACACAGGCCUCCCAGAGGACGGCCUUCUCCUCCAGGUGCCACAGUGUCAGGGGACACUCUCUCACAUUAGGACAAGCAGAAGAAUGAUGCGCUGGACACUUGAAGUAAGAGCCCUUUGAAGCUGACGUGCUGCAGGAUAAAACACACUCUUUCUCUGGAAAAGAGAAAGCCAAGAUACUGUGGGGGCACAAGGAACAAUGGAGCCAAUGAAACGGAGGUCAGAGCUGAAGGUUUCUGCUACAAGCAAGCUAUAUACAGGUGUUCAGAUGUGUCCGGAGUUUCUUCCUUCUGG